AGGUGCAUUCUUGCAUUUCGCUGUAUUUCUUCCACCACCGUAUUUAUCCCUAGAUCACGAUGCAGAUCAGAGUUCCUUACGUACCAUGGUGCAUUUGCCACACCCCUUAAUAUAACGUUUUGGAAUUUUUGUAUGGUUUCAACAUGUGUGCUGCUAGCGCAUCCCCAGAGCUGAAUACCAUAUGUCCAAAUUGGUUUCAAUAUUUGUUUGUAAAUUAAAAGCUUAUUAUGAAGUGACAGUUUCGACUUCUUUCCAAUAAGCCAUUUGAUUGAUCUGUAUUUUAUAUUCAGUUCAUCUCUCUUUUUUUUACAUGUUCAUUCCAUCUCAGCUUUGCAUCCAAUGUCAUACCGAGGUACUUAGCCGUAUUAGAAUGUGGAAUUUGUAUUCCAUCAAUGUAGAGGGGCAUAAAUCUGAUAUUUCGCCCAAGCGAUAAUGUCAUUGACAGAAGACUGCAGACGCCUGGCUGCUGUUAGUUCAUCAUCUCCAAUCGCUAGAACAGCUGUAUCGUCAGCGAACGUCGCUGUAAACGUCGCUGAGCUCAUUGGCAAAUCAUUUGUGUAUAUUAAAUAUAACAAAGGACCAAGUACACUGCCUUGGGGUACCCCAGCGUUGAUUUUUUGGAGUUCACUGUAAUCGUUUCCAUGCUUAACACGGAAGUAACGAUUAGUCAAAUAAGAAGAAACCAUAUCGAAAUACUCCAACGGAAAAAUGUCUCUUAUUUUUGUUAGUAGACCUGUAUGCCAAACUUUGUCGAAAGCCUGGGAUACGUCUAAUUUUGAGAAACCAACAGCCCAAAUAUAUUAUAAAUUAUACUAUUAGAAGUGACAAAAAUUGAUACAACGUGG